GACGAACGCUGGCGGCGUGCCUAAUACAUGCAAGUCGAACGCAGUGGGGACGGGUGCGUGACAAGUGGGUAACCUCCCAUCAGAGGGGAUAACACUUGGAAACAGGUGCUAAACCGAUACUGGUGGAUGUACCCGCGGUGCAUUAGCUAGUUGGUGGGGUAAAGGCUCACCAAGGCCACGAUGCAUAGCCGACCUGAGAGGGUGAUCGGCCACACUGGGACUGAGACACGGCCCAGACUCCUACGGGAGGCAGCAGUAGGGAAUCUUGGGCAAUGGACGAAAGUCUGACCGAGCCACGCCGCGUGAGUGAAGAAGGGUUUCGGAUCGUAAAACUCUGUUGUCAGAGAAGCGGUAUCUAACCAGAAAGCCACGGCUAACUACGUGCCAGCAGCCGCGGUAAUUC
rnacentral:rRNA from 1 species